CAGCAGCCGCGGUAAUACGGAGGAUGCAAGCGUUAUCCGGAUUCAUUGGGUUUAAAGGGUGCGCAGGCGGUAAUGUAAGUCAGUGGUGAAAGACUUCCGCUCAACGGUAGUCGUGCCAUUGGUACUGCUUUUCUUGAGUUUGGAUGAGGUAGGCGGAAUGUGCAGUGUAGCCGUGAAAUGCAUAGAUAUUGCACAGAACACCAAUUGCGAAGGCAGCUUACUAAUCCACGACUGACGCUGAGGCACGAAAGCGUGGGGAGCGAACAGGAUUAGAUACCCUGGUAGUCCACGCCGUAAACGAUGUUCACUCGCUGUUUGCGAUACACAGUUAGCGGCUUAGCGAAAGCAUUAAGUGAACCACCUGGGGAGUACGAUCGCAAGGUUGAAACUCAAAGGAAUUGACGGGGGCCCGCACAAGCGGAGGAACAUGUGGUUUAAUUCGAUGAUUCGCGAGGAACCUUACCUGGGCUUGAAAUGUAGAGUGCAUGCGGUGGAAACACCCUUCCCUUCGGGGCUCUCUGCAAGGUGCUGCAUGGUUGUCGUCAGCUCGUGCCGUGAGGUGUCGGGUUAAGUCCCAUAACGAGCGCAACCCUUACCGUUAGUUGCCAACAGGUAAUGCUGGGGACUCUAGCGGGACUGCCAGCGUAAGGUGAGAGGAAGGUGGGGAUGACGUCAAAUCAGCAUGGCCCUUAUGUCCAGGGCUACACACGUGUUACAAUGGCUAGUACAGAGGGCAGCUACUCCGCGAGAGGAUGCUAAUCUUAAAAGCCGGUCUCAGUUCGGAUUGGAGUCUGCAACCCGACUCCAUGAAGUUGGAUUCGCUAGUAAUCGCGCAUCAGCCAUGGCGCGGUGAAUACGUUCCCGGGCCUUGUACACACCGCCCGUCAAACCAUGGGAGCUGGGGGUGCCUGAAGACUGUUACCCGUAAGGGAGCGGCCUAGGGUAGACCCGGAGAUUGGGGUUAAGUCGUAACAAGGUAACCGUA
rnacentral:rRNA from 1 species